rnacentral:rRNA from 1 species
UACGAAGGGGGCGAGCGUUGUUCGGAAUUACUGGGCGUAAAGGGCGCGCAGGCGGCUCUGAAAGUCAGAUGUGAAAGCCCCGGGCUUAACCUGGGAAUUGCAUUUGAUACUCUGGAGCUUGAGUGUGGGAGAGGAGAGUGGAAUUCCCAGUGUAGAGGUGAAAUUCGUAGAUAUUCGCAAGAACACCAGUGGCGAAGGCGGACUCACUGGCCCGAUACUGACGCUGAGGCACGAAAGCGUGGGGAGCAAACAGG